AACCUCCGCAAUGUGAGAAAUCGCGACGGGGGGAUCCCAAGUGCCAUUCUUAACGGGAUGGCUUUUCUUAAGUGUAAAAAGCUUUUGGAAUAAGAGCUGGGCAAGACCGGUGCCAGCCGCCGCGGUAACACCGGCAGCUCUAGUGGUAGCUGUUUUUAUUGGGCCUAAAGCGUUCGUAGCCGGUUUGAUAAGUCACUGGUGAAAUCCUGUAGCUUAACUGUGGGAAUUGCUGGUGAUACUGUUGAACUUGAGGUCGGGAGAGGUUAGUGGUACUCCCAGGGUAGAGGUGAAAUUCUGUAAUCCUGGGAGGACCGCCUGUUGCGAAGGCGUCUAACUGGAACGGUUCUGACGGUGAGGGACGAAAGUUAGGGGCGCGAACCGGAUUAGAUACCCGGGUAGUCCUAACUGUAAACGAUGCGGACUUGGUGUUGGGUGGCUUUGAGCUGCUCCAGUGCCGAAGGGAAGCUGUUAAGUCCGCCGCCUGGGAAGUACGGUCGCAAGACUGAAACUUAAAGGAAUU
rnacentral:rRNA from 1 species